rnacentral:rRNA from 1 species
AUUGAACGCUGGCGGCAGGCCUAACACAUGCAAGUCGAGCGAGCGGCGGACGGGUGAGUAAUGUCUGGGAAACUGCCUGAUGGACGGGGAUAACUACUGGAAACGGUAGCUCAUACCGCAUACCAUCAGAUGUGCCCAGAUGGGAUUAGCUAGUAGGUGGGGUAAUGGCUCACCUAGGCGACGAUCCCUAGCUGGUCUGAGAGGAUGACCAGCCACAGUGGAAAGGAGAGACGGUCCAGACUCCUACGGGAGGCAGCAGUGGGGAAGAUUGCACAAUGGGCGCAAGCCUGAUGAAGCCACGCCGCGUGUGUGAAGAAGGCCUUCGGGUGGCAAAGCACUUUCAGCGGGGAGGCGUUACCCGCAGAAGAAGCACCGGGUAAGUCCGUGCAAGCAGCCGCGGUAAUAC